rnacentral:tRNA from 1 species
ACCUGUGUGGUUUUGUGGUAUGAUUCUCGCUUUGGGUGCGAGAGGUCCCGGGUUCAAUCCCCGGUUCGGCCA